rnacentral:rRNA from 1 species
UACGGAGGGUGCAAGCGUUACUCGGAAUUAUUGGGCGUAAAGCGCGUGUAGGCGGUUUAGUAAGUCUGAUGUGAAAUCCCUGGACUCAAUCCAGGAAGUGCAUUGGAUACUGCUAGACUAGAGUUUUGGAGAGGUGAACGGAAUUCCUGGUGUAGAGGUGAAAUUCGUAGAUAUCAGGAGGAACAACAGAGGCGAAGGCGGUUCACUGGACAAUAACUGACGCUCAGACGCGAAAGCGUGGGUAGCAAACAGG